rnacentral:rRNA from 1 species
UACGGAGGGUGCAAGCGUUAAUCGGAAUUACUGGGCGUAAAGCGUGCGCAGGCGGUUUGUUAAGUCCGCUGUGAAAUCCCCGAGCUCAACUUGGGAAUUGCAGUGGAUACUGGCAAGCUGGAGUAUGGUAGAGGAAGGUGGAAUUCCCGGUGUAGCAGUGAAAUGCGUAGAGAUCGGGAGGAACACCUGAGGUGAAGACGGGUUGCUGGGCCGACACUGACGCUGACAGCGCGAAAGCCAGGGGAGCAAACGGG